UGGCUCAGAUGGUAAAGUGUCUGCCUACAAAGCAGGAGACCCGGGUUCAAUCCCUGG
rnacentral:tRNA from 1 species